GUCAUUUCCUCUCUAACAUGCCUUGCUAAAUAGCCAAAAAAAUAACUGAAUAACUGAUACCUAAUUUAUGUUCUAUUCAAAAAAACAAAAGCAGAAAGAGCCAUAUAGUAUACUUCGAUGUAAAUACAGCUCAGACCAGAUAAUAUGAACUGUCAUAUCAAGAACUGUAGCCUUCCAUGUGCGACUAAUUUUUUUCCCUGGUUUGAUUGAAUGAUAUGAUUGUGUACAAGGUGUUUAUGUUUUUCAUUCAGAAGGAUAUUACUUUUGUUACAGUAAAUGUACCUGGUCACUUCUAAUUGCUUUAGUGGAGCCGUAUUUAUUGGAUGGUUGAAUUAUGUCAAAUUGUCACCUGAAUUUAACAGAUGUAAAAGUGCAUAAUUUGAAAAUGUAAUUAAAAAAAAAAGAAUUUAGAAGUAAAUAUUUUUAAUAAGC
rnacentral:misc_RNA from 1 species